CCUACGGGGGGCAGCAGUGGGGAAUAUUGCACAAUGGGGGAAACCCUGAUGCAGCGACGCCGCGUGAGCGAUGAAGUAUUUCGGUAUGUAAAGCUCUAUCAGUAGGGAAGAAAAUGACGGUACCUAACUAAUAAGCCCCGGCUAACUACGUUCCAGCAGCCGCGGUAAUACGUAGGGUGCAAGCGUUAUCCGGAUUUACUGGGUGUAAAGGGAGCGUAGACGGCUGUGCAAGCCAGAUGUGAAAGCCCGGGGCUCAACCCCGGGACUGCAUUUGAAACUGUGUGGCUGGAGUGUCGGAGAGGCAGGCGGAAUUCCGAGUGUAGCGGUGAAAUGCGUAGAUAUUAGGAGGAACACCGGUGGCGAAGGCGGCCUGCUGGACGAUGACUGACGUUGAGGCUCGAAAGCGUGGGGAGCAAACAGGAUUAGAUACCCCUGUAGUC
rnacentral:rRNA from 1 species